ACACGACACACGAAAUUCGGGAUC
rnacentral:siRNA from 1 species